rnacentral:rRNA from 1 species
UGGGGAAUUUUGCACAAUGGGGGAAACCCUGAUGCAGCGACGCCGCGUGAUUUAGAAGGCCUUCGGGUUGUAAAAAUCUUUUUUACGGGAUGAAAAUGACAGUACCGUAAGAAUAAGGUCCGGCUAAAUACGUGCCAGCAGCCGCGGUAAUACGUAUGGACCGAGCGUUGUCCGGAAUCAUUGGGCGGAAAGGGCACGUAGGCGGCCUAGUAAGUUAGAAGUGAAAUAAUAUAGCUCAACUAUAUAAAGCUUUUAAAACUGCUAGGAUUGAGAGAUGGAAGGGAAAGUGGAAUUCCUAGUGUAGCGGUGAAAUGCGCAGAUAUUAGGAAGAAUACCGGUGGCGAAGGCGACUUUCUGGUCAUCAUCUGACGCUGAGGUACGAAAGCGUGGGUAGCAAACAGG